rnacentral:rRNA from 1 species
GAAUAUUGGACAAUGGGCGAAAGCCUGAUCCAGCCAUGCCGCGUGUGUGACGAAGGUCUUCGGAUUGUCAAGCACUCUACGUUGGGAGGAAGGGCAGUAAGCGACUACCUUGCUGUUUUGACGUUACCGACAGAAGAAGCCCCGGCUAACGCCGUGCCAGCCGCCGCGGUAAUACAGAGGGUGCAAGCGUUAAUCGGAAUUACUGGGCGUAAAGCGCGCGUAGGUGGUUCGUUAAGUUGGAUGUGAAAUCCCCGGGCUCAACCUGGGAACUGCAUCCAAAACUGGUGAGCUAGAGUAGGGCAGAGGGUGGUGGAAUUUCCUGUGUAGCGGUGAAAUGCGUAGAUAUAGGAAGGAACACCAGUGGCGAAGGCGACCACCUGGGCUCAUACUGACACUGAGGUGCGAAAGCGUGGGGAGCAAACA